rnacentral:rRNA from 1 species
GUUGGCUUAGAAGCAGCCAUCAUUUAAAGAAAGCGUAAUAGCUCACUGGUCGAGUCGGCCUGCGCGGAAGAUGUAACGGGGCUAAACCAUGCACCGAAGCUGCGGCAGCGAACGUAUCACUUAAAGCGAUUCAGCGGGUUACGAUUGACGGAGCGAAGCGACGUCAAAGCGUAUACAAAGUCGAGUCGGUUUAAGGAUACGUUCGUUGGGUAGGGGAGCGUUCUGUAAGCCUGUGAAGGUGGCCUGUGAGGGUUGCUGGAGGUAUCAGAAGUGCGAAUGCUGACAUAAGUAACGAUAAAGCGGGUGAAAAGCCCGCUCGCCGGAAGACCAAGGGUUCCUGUCCAACGUUAAUCGGGGCAGGGUGAGUCGACCCCUAAGGCGAGGCCGAAAGGCGUAGUCGAUGGGAAACGGGUUAAUAUUCCCGUACUUGGUGUUACUGCGAAGGGGGGACGGAGAAGGCUAUGUUGGCCGGGCGACGGUUGUCCCGGUUUAAGCGUGUAGGUGUGUGUUCCAGGUAAAUCCGGUUCACUUUAACACUGAGGCGUGACGACGAGGCACUACGGUGCUGAAGCAACAAAUGCCCUGCUUCCAGGAAAAGCCUCUAAGCAUCAGGUAACAUCAAAUCGUACCCCAAACCGACACAGGUGGUCAGGUAGAGA